rnacentral:tRNA from 2 species
GCCUCCGUAGCUCAGGGGAUAGAGCGUCGGUUUCCGGUACCGUAGGUCGGGGGUUCAAAUCCCUCCGGGGGCA